UUCUUCAAAAUAUGUUUUCUGUUUGGACAUCCGUUAUACCCUAGGGCCUAGAGAACAGAACAGACCAGCUUUUAUGCUUCAACGUCACUCAAAUCACAGUGCCGUUAGAAAAUAACAGCUUUUAUCCUCCAACGUCACUCAAAUCACAGUGCCCUUGAUUCCUGCUUUUUAGUUGAUUUCUGCUAUUUUUAUAAAAGUGCCGUUGAUUCCUGCUUUUUUAAUAAAACUACUGUUGAUUUGAUUAAUAUAUAUACAGGUGCCAUUUGAUCAUUUAAUUUGUAUUUUCUGGUUUUCCUUUUUUCCUGUGAUUUUGAGUCUUCUUUUUCUUGUUUCCUUUGGCAUGGCCAUGCCUUUUGUUCUUCAUUUUUCCUUGUAUUUCAUAUCUGCAUUUUAUUUGUAUGUUGUAUUUUAUUUGAGGUUGAGGAGGGUUUGGCGAGCAGGAGAAGGGCGAGAGAGGAUUCAGCUAUAUGCAACAUGAUGCAGGCCAAAAUUCCAACUAAGUUAUUCUAGUUUUCCUUGGUGUGUAUUAUUAUCAGGUUAGAGGUUCCUACUUGCACAUGGAACCUGUGGAUGACAUGGAAGAAAGCUUACAAAAAAGAAAGAAAAAUAGCUCAUCAAUGAUAAAAAUGAUAUGAUUUACUUGUAACUUUAAGUAUAAACUAGUAAUAUUUCUCCUGUCCAACUUGGCAUUAACUACUAUACAAUAAACAUGAAUUCCUGACCUGUCAAAUGCUGAAUGUCAGCAUCAUAGAACUCUCUUAAAACACUAGUAAUAAUUUGACUUUAUCAGAGA